GUGCCAGCAGCCGCGGUAAGACAGAGGCCACAAGCGUUAGGCGGAAUCACUGGGCUUAAAGCGUGUGUAGGCGGAUCGUUAAGUGCCUUGUGAAAUCCCACGGCUCAACCGUGGAAUGGCUGGGCAUACUGGCGGUCUUGAGCUGCCUAGGGGCGACUGGAACAGACGGUGGAGCGGUGAAAUGCGUAGAUAUCGUCUGGAACGCCAACGGUGAAAACAGGUCGCUGGGGGCAAGCUGACGCUGAGACACGAAAGCCAGGGGAGCAAACGGGAUUAGAUACCCUUGUAGUCC
rnacentral:rRNA from 1 species